rnacentral:misc_RNA from 1 species
UCGUAACAAGGUUUCCGUAGGUGAACCUGCGGAAGGAUCAUUACCGAGUGAGGGCCCUCUGGGUCCAACCUCCCACCCGUGUUUAUCGUACCUUGUUGCUUCGGCGGGCCCGCCGCAAGGCCGCCGGGGGGCAUCUGCCCUCUGGCCCGCGCCCGCCGAAGACACCAUUGAACGCUGUCUGAAGAUUGCAGUCUGAGCAAUUAGUUAAAUAACUUAAAACUUUCAACAACGGAUCUCUUGGUUCCGGCAUCGAUGAAGAACGCAGCGAAAUGCGAUACGUAAUGUGAAUUGCAGAAUUCAGUGAAUCAUCGAGUCUUUGAACGCACAUUGCGCCCCCUGGUAUUCCGGGGGGCAUGCCUGUCCGAGCGUCAUUGCUGCCCUCAAGCACGGCUUGUGUGUUGGGCUCCGUCCUCCUCCCGGGGGACGGGCCCGAAAGGCAGCGGCGGCACCGCGUCCGGUCCUCGAGCGUAUGGGGCUUCGUCACCCGCUCUGUAGGCCCGGCCGGCGCUUGCCGACACAUCAAUCUUUUUUCCAGGUUGACCUCGGAUCAGGUAGGGAUACCCGCUGAACUUAAGCAUAUCAAUAA